GACGAACGCUGGCGGCGUGCCUAAUACAUGCAAGUAGAACGCACAGUUUAUACCUUAGCUUGCUACACCAUACACUGUGAGUUGCGAACGGGUGGGUAACCCUUAGGUAACCUGCCGGGUAGCGGGGGAUAACUAUUGGAAACGAUAGCUAAUACCGCAUAAUAUUGAUUAUUGCAUGAUAAUUGAUGGAAAGUUGCUAUUGCACCACUACCAGAUGGACCGGCGUUGUAUUAGCUAGUAGGUGAGGUAACGGCUCACCUAGGCGACGAUACAUAGCCGACCUGAGAGGGUGAUCGGCCACACUGGGACUGAGACACGGCCCAGACUCCUACGGGAGGCAGCAGUAGGGAAUCUUCGGCAAUGGACGAAAGUCUGACCGAGCAACGCCGCGUGAGUGAAGAAGGUUUUCGGAUCGUAAAGCUCUGUUGUAAGAGAAGAACGGGUGUGAGAGUGGAAAGUUCACACUGUGACGGUAUCUUACCAGAAAGGGACGGCUAACUACGUG
rnacentral:rRNA from 1 species